rnacentral:rRNA from 1 species
GAUCAUGGUUCAGGAUGAACGCUAGCUACAGGCUUGACACAUGCAAGUCGAGGGGCAUCAGGAAGAAAGCUUGCUUUCUUUGCUGGCGACCGGCGCACGGGUGAGUAACACGUAUCCAACCUGCCCUUUACUCGGGGAUAGCCUUUCGAAAGAAAGAUUAAUACCCGAUAGCAUAAUGAUUCCGCAUGGUUUCAUUAUUAAAGGAUUCCGGUAAAGGAUGGGGAUGCGUUCCAUUAGGUUGUUGGUGAGGG